UACGCAGGGGGCUAGCGUUGUUCGGAUUUACUGGGCGUAAAGCGCACGUAGGCGGAUCGCUAAGUCGGGGGUGAAAUCCUGGAGCUCAACUCCAGAACUGCCUUCGAUACUGGCGAUCUCGAGUCCGGAAGAGGUGAGUGGAACUCCUAGUGUAGAGGUGGAAUUCGUAGAUAUUAGGAAGAACACCAGUGGCGAAGGCGGCUCACUGGUCCGGUACUGACGCUGAGGUGCGAAAGCGUGGGGAGCAAACAGG
rnacentral:rRNA from 1 species